GUAACGGAGGGGCUAGCGUUGUUCGGAAUUACUGGGCGUAAAGCGCACGUAGGCGGCUUUACAGUCAGGGUGAAGACCGCGGCUCAACCGCGGAAUUGCCCUUGAGACUGUAUCGCUUGAACACGGGAGAGGUGAGUGGAAUUCCGGAGUGUAGAGGUGAAAUUCGUAGAUAUUCGCAAGAACACCAGUGGCGAAGGCGGACUCACUGGCCCGGUACGUGACGCUGAGGUGCGAAAGCGUGGGAG
rnacentral:rRNA from 1 species